rnacentral:rRNA from 1 species
UACUAGAGUAGCACUCGCAUAUCAAUAAGCGGAGGAAAAGAAACUAACAAGGAUUCCCCUAGUAACGGCGAGUGAAGCGGGAAGAGCUCAAAUUUGAAAUCUUAAAGGGUUUCCCUUUACGAAUUGUAGUUUUAAAGAAGUGUUUUCUGUUGAGGUUUUGGUAAAAGUUCUUUGGAAUAGGACAUCAUAGAGGGUGAGAAUCCCGUAUUUGACCUUUACUUUCAACUUUGUGAUACACUUUCAAAGAGUCGGAUUGUUUGGGAAUGCAGUCCAAAAUGGGUGGUAAAUUUCAUCUAAAGCUAAAUAUUGGCGAGAGACCGAUAGCGAACAAGUACCGUGAGGGAAAGAUGAAAAGAACUUUGAAAAGAGAGUUAAACAGUACGUGAAAUUGUCAAAAGGGAAGCGUUUGACACCAGUGUUGUUUUUCUGAAAAUCAAUUAAAGAACUGUUUAUGCUAAGUUGUUUAGACUUUAUCAGCUAAUCUGCUUAGUUUUGAGCUUUUCUUUAAUGCACUUUUCAGUUAACAAGUCAACAUCAAUUUCUUUUGCUGUAAAAAAGCUUGAGGAAGGUGGCUUGAGAUUCGUCUUAAGUGUUUAUAGCCUCUUGCCUAUGCAGUCGGAGAGAUUGAGGUCUGCAGCGUAGAUCCUUCGGGGCUAAAUGCAUUUGUGCUAAGUUAUAGCAUUUUAUAGACAACUUGUUGACUAUGAUUUGUCUUGUAGCUUACUCGCUUAUGUUAUUUUACCUACGCUUAGGAUGUUGAACUACUGAGACAUAGA